rnacentral:lncRNA from 1 species
UGGAACUGUUACAAUGACCAGCAGUUUCCAGUUCCUUAGGGUCUAGUCUCUCUGUUAUCAUCAGCAGUAUGGCUGCAAACCUUUAGACAUGCCUGUUCUGCGAUGAAGAAGCAGUCAGACCCCAUUUGACUCUCUGAAGAUGACUAAGCUCAAAAGGGUUAUUAGGAACAGCACCCACCUAUAAGAUCCAGUUAGCUCUCAGCAGCUGGACUUCUUCAUCUGUCAGAAAAUAGAAUUGUAGACCAUCUUCCCACCUUCCCACUGAGAGGCUAUAAGAUCCAGUUAGCUCUCAGCAGCUGGACUUCUUCAUCUGUCAGAAAAUAGUGAGUAUUGUUCUGGCAACAAAAUAGUUGUAUAUCCUGAUCCCAGUAGAGGGCAGCAAGCCA